UACGUAGGGGGCGAGCGUUGUCCGGAAUGACUGGGCGUAAAGGGCGUGUAGGCGGUCUUUUAAGUCUGGAGUGAAAGUCCUGCUUUUAAGGUGGGAAUUGCUUUGGAUACUGGGGGACUUGAGUGCAGAAGAGGUAAGCGGAAUUCCCAGUGUAGCGGUGAAAUGCGUAGAGAUUGGGAGGAACACCAGUGGCGAAGGCGGCUUACUGGGCUGUAACUGACGCUGAGGCGCGAAGGCGUGGGGAGCGAAC
rnacentral:rRNA from 1 species